ensembl:lncRNA
ACAGCUUUAUGGUCCCUUAACAGGCACUUGCUCACUCUUUUUUUUUAAUUCAGAAAAGACACUGCAAUGCUUCCUAGCUUGUAUGUCGCUGCCACUUGGAAGGAUCUGCUUCACUGAGCUAUUUUAUCUGCAUUUAUCAUUGUUUCAAAGUCUUUUUUCUCUUUGCUUACUGUUUCUAUUAGCAUAUUUUUACAGAUGAAAACCAUCAAACAAUUACUAUGUGAAGUUCAGGGUAUGAUUUCUGUGCUUUAGAAAUUAUCUCCUUUCUUAGUGAAUUGCAACAUGCUGUUUGUCCUUGGUUUUGAAGCAUUAGCCACUGGUAGUUUGGCAGCCCCUGUCCUACAUUUCUCACUGGGUUGUAGUGCAAUGGCCCUGAUACAAUUUUCAAUCUUCCCAACCGCUACAAACUCAAACUUUCUCUCUUGAGAAUGGAAAUAACUAAUCCACGUUAUGAGUAAAUACAAUUUUCAUUACACAAAUAGAGGGUUGAUCCUCCCCUUCUGACUCCUCUGUAUAGAAGCCUGGAAAGGACUGUAACUGCCAUGCUUCUGUAACAUUCCCAUAUGAGAUUUUGCAAAGCUUUUGAACCAGUAAUUAAAAAUAUUGUAGCAUAUAUAACAAAAUCUUUACACUCUAAUCCUCCUCUUAACAGAAUCCUGCGAUAGUCUUAUCUGGCUCAGGUGAACAAAUGUGUCUAUUACCACAAUUUCUUCUCUUACAACAUGGAGGAGGGUUUAAAAUUUCGUGAGCUGCUCAGAUUUUCAUUGUUCUGUCUUACUGCAAGCUGUAACCUGAUCAACAAUUCUUUAUAAAGCAGCAGAGGGUGUUUUUGUUUUACGUGAUCUUGUGGGGGUUUGCUUGUUGCUUUUUCUUUUACAUAUAUAAAUCCACACUGCUCAGGGCUAAACUCUUUUAUUCUGUUUUCAUAUGGUUGAAGUACACCCAGACUGACCGUGCAGAGUGAUAUUUCCACCUUGUAAGGCAUCCACUACUCAUAUUUUCGCAGAAGUUGUCUGUGGAGCUUGCUCUCUCAGGGAUUGCUUGGUGUAGUAUGGGAACUCAAACAGCCUUUAUAUGACUGGCCUUCAUUUUGGUUGUGUACUCUUAAGAGCGUGCAGCAAUGUCCGAGGCUGCUCCAAAUAAUGCCUCCUGUGUUGUUAUGUUGGUGCACGACCUCAGAGGCAGAUAUUGGAGGGAUGGCAGUAGAGGUUGAAUCUUCCUACCUGUAUUCCGUUACAUGUUGUUGCUGUGUGACAGAUGGCAGCAGAGGGGCAAAAUGAUAUCUGACAUGGAAGUGUGAAUGAAACAGAAGUGCGGGAUUGAAUUCCUCUAUGCGAAAAAAAUGGCACCCAUUGAUGUUCACUGACACUUGCUGGAUGUUUCUGGAGACCAAGCAGUGGAUGUUGGCACAGUGAGGCAGCAGGUGAUGUGUUUCAGAAGUGGUGAUAGUAACAGUGGGUCACCUCCACUGGUGCAGAUUUUUAUGAGAGCAGCAUGCAGGCUCUUGUUCAUCACUGGUGAAAAUGCAUAGCUAGUGGUGGUGACUGUGUUGAGGAAUACUGUUCUGUAGCUGAGAAUUUGCUCUAUCAAAUAGUGUUAUUGUGCUCUUUGUUAUAAUUUCCACUGAAAUAAAUAGAAGGCGUUGCUUUCAGAGCAACCUAUGUACAUCUAGUUAGAAUAAACUUUAGCCCUUUUCUGUUUCAGGAAAGGAGAUACUCAGGAAACUGGUGAGGCGAGAAGGGUAUUUCUUAUCUUUUUCUCUGUCUUGCAGUAGUUUCACUGAUCAAUGAGAUCAAUAGAAAACUCUCAAAAGUAGUUCAAAGUUAGCAAAAACCAAGAGAUUUUUUUUAAUUUCCAAGUAUAUAGAUUUCCAAUUAUAUAAACAAAAUUUAUUUUUAAGCAUGAUAACCACUUGAAUAAUAUUUUUGAAAAUCAUCAUGAAAAAACAAAACGUGCUUCUUAGACUGGGAUAGAUGACGCAAUUUUGAGGAAAGUUAUCCAUUUAAAG